ACGUGAUUACCCGCUGAACUUAAGCAUAUCACUAAGCGGAGGAAAAGAAACUAACCAGGAUUCCCUUAGUAACGGCGAGUGAACAGGGAAAAGCCCAGCACCGAAGCCUGUGGUCGUUUGGCCCCUAGGCAAUGUGGUGUUCAGGUUAGCUCGCGAAGAUGCUGCUCCACCCUAAGUCCUAUAAUGAGUAAGGUUACUCGGACAUGGCCCAAUGAGGGUGAAAGGCCCGUGGGGGUGGAGAUUCAGAAUGGCCAGUAUCUUCCUGAGCAGACCUUGGAGUCGGGUUGUUUGUGAAUGCAGCCCAAAGCGGGUGGUAAACUCCAUCCAAGGCUAAAUACUAGCACGAGUCCGAUAGCGAACAAGUACCGUGAGGGAAAGUUGAAAAGUACUUUGAAGAGAGAGUAAACAGUGCGUGAAACCGUUCAGAGGUAAACAGGUGGAGUUGAACUGCAAGCUCUGAGGAUUCAGCUGGUGAGUAUGGCAUGAGCUUGGUCAUAUUGGUUGUGUGCUCGGGUCUGCUUAGCUGCAGGUCUCCGCUUCGGUGGGGAUGCGCGAAUCACUCAUCAGGUGUUGUGCGCCCGGGUACUGACGGACCUGCUUGCCAGUGCACUUUCUCAG
rnacentral:rRNA from 1 species